rnacentral:rRNA from 1 species
UGGCUCAGAACGAACGCUGGCGGCAGGCCUAAUACAUGCAAGGUGAACGGUAAUUGGUGUAGCAAUACAUCGACUAGAGUACCGCAAGGGUGCGUAACACGUAUGCAAUCUGCCCACGACAGGAGGAUAGCUCCCCGAAAGGGGAAUUAAUACUCCAUAAGAUCACGCGAGGGCAUCUGAGAGUGAUUAAACUACAAGGGGUUGUGGAUGAGCAUGCGGAUGAUUAGCUAGUUGGCGGUGUAACGGACCACCAAGGAGAUGAUCAAUAGGGGAACUGAGAGGUUUAUCCUCCACACUGGCACUGAGAUACGGACCAGACUCUACG